GACGAACGCUGGCGGCGUGCCUAACACAUGCAAGUCGAACGGGGUUGAGUGCUUCGGUAUUCAACCUAGUGGCGAACGGGUGAGUAACGCGUGAAGAACCUGCCUUUCAGUGGGGGACAACAGUUGGAAACGACUGCUAAUACCGCAUGACGCUUCUUGGGGGCAUCCCCGAGAAUGCAAAGCUUUAUGUGCUGAAAGAUGGCUUCGCGUCUGAUUAGCUAGAUGGCGGGGUAACGGCCCACCAUGGCGACGAUCAGUAGCCGGUCUGAGAGGAUGAACGGCCACAUUGGGACUGAGAUACGGCCCAGACUCCUACGGGAGGCAGCAGUGGGGAAUAUUGGGCAAUGGGGGAAACCCUGACCCAGCAACGCCGCGUGAAGGAAGAAGGCCUUCGGGUUGUAAACUUCUUUUACCAGGGACGAAGGACGUGACGGUACCUGGAGAAAAAGCAACGGCUAACUACGUGCCAGCAGCCGCGGUAA
rnacentral:rRNA from 1 species